ACCUGUUUUUGUGUCGCCUCUACGGAGUAGUGGCGACAUAUAGGGAUCACUUCUCCGUCGUCUGUCUGUCCGUCUGUCCGUCCGUCCGUCACAAAACUUGUCCGGACUACUGCUCAUAAACUACUGGUGCAAUUUCAUCCAAACUUUACAGGAAUGAUCAGUACCAAGUCUAGUUGUGCAUAUUGUCAGCAUUUUCCGGUUCAAUGAUUUUUGUCAGAGUUAUGGCGCUUUAAUAAUUUUUAAUUUUAAAGUUUGUCCGGACUACUUCUCUUAUACCACUAAUGCAAUUUCAAUGAAACUUUACAGGAUUGAUCUGUAGCUCAAGUCCUUGCGCAUAUUGCACGGGUUUUCCGGUUGAAUGAUUUUUGGCCGAGUUAUGGCCUUUUGAUAAAAAGGUGUUUUUUCUUUGUGUUGCCAGAUACGCAAAAGCUUGUCCGGACUACUCCUCAUAAACUACUGGUGCAAUUUUAUCCAAACUUUACAGGAAUGAUCAGUACCAAGUCUAGUUGUGCACUGUCCGUCUGUCUGUCCGUCUGUCACAAAAUUUGUCCCAACAUGAAAUUGGCCAUCAUGAGGCGACACAUGUGAUUACUGAUCGCUCUUGUUAUACU